CCCAAGGACAAAGCCCUGACUAGACCACCUUUACAGCCUCAAGGCCCUUCAGGAGCCAUCACACCUCCCUCUCUGGCUGCCGCUCUUGCAGCUCUGCUCCCAGCUCAGGCCGGCGCUCCUUCCAGCAUCCUAAGUUCUGUUCCCUACGCUUGACUGCCUGUCUGCUCUUCUCCACCCAGGGAAAUCCUGUAAGACCCUGCCCUGUGCUGCCUCCACUGGAAGCCCUCCUCAGAUCUGCCAGAGUGGCCGCCGCCACACUCAGGAGCCCCCGUCACUCCUGGGCUGGCUGGGGUCAGUUCUGACUCUCUCUUGCGCUGCGGUGGCCUCCAGCUCCCCUCAGUUUCACAGUGAUUCUAACUGGAGGUCAGUGAUGCUUCGCUUCAAGACUCCCUCAUCUGGGCCCUCAGAAUGUUCCUACAGAGGACUGGGUGCCUGGGCCAUCCCUGGCGAGAAUUACAGUUGUCUGCCCUCCCGCACCACAGGUCACCAUCAGGGCGCUGUGCUGGACUCCCAUUGAUGAGUGGAUGAAUGAGGUGGAGCAGGGUUCUUUGCCUCCAGUUUCCACAAGAUCAACUCCUCCAGGCUAUUCAGAAAGGGGAAAUUGGAGACACACAUGAACAUACAGAAGGAAUAUCAUGUGAAGAUGAAGGUGGAGAUCAGGUGAUGUGUUUACAUGCAAAGGAACCCCAAAGAUUCCUACCAAGCCCCUGGAAGCUAGGAGAGGGCAUGGGAAAGACUCUCCAUCACAGCCCUUGCAAGGAGCCAGCUCUGUUGAUACCUGCAUCUUGGAACUGCAGCCGCCACAACUGAGAGGCAAUACACUUCUGUUCUUGAAGUUCUCCAGUCUGUGCUACUUUGUGACAGCAGUCCUAGCAAACAAAUCCGGGGACUAACAUGGUCACUUUAUGGCUGAGAAACUGAGGACCCUGAGAGCCGUGGCUGGUUCAA